rnacentral:rRNA from 1 species
UGAACGCUGGCGGCAGGCCUAACACAUGCAAGUCGAGCGGCAGCACAGCAGUAGCAAUACUGUGGGUGGCGAGCGGCGGACGGGUGAGGAAUACAUCGGAAUCUACCUUCUUGUGGGGGAUAACGUAGGGAAACUUACGCUAAUACCGCAUAAGACCUGAGGGUGAAAGCGGGGGACCGCAAGGCCUCGCGCGAGAAGAUGAGCCGAUGUCCGAUUAGCUAGUUGGUGAGGUAAAGGCUCACCAAGGCGACGAUCGGUAGCUGGUCUGAGAGGAUGAUCAGCCACACUGGAACUGAGACACGGUCCAGACUCCUACGGGAGGCAGCAGUGGGGAAUAUUGGACAAUGGGCGCAAGCCUGAUCCAGCCAUGCCGCGUGUGUGAAGAAGGCCUCGG